AAAUGAUUUUCUACAUCAAUUAAAAUGAUCAUGUGACAGCCAGGGCGCAGAGGUCAGGGAGCUGGGGUGCAGAGGUCGGGCAGUUAGGUGCAGAGGUCGGACAGCCGGGGUGCAGAGGUCAGGGAGCCAGGGUGCAGAGGUCGGGCAGUUAGGCGCAGAGGUCAGGGAGCCGGGGUGCAGAGGUCGGGGAGCCGGGGUGCAGAGGUCGAGCUGUGCUGGGGUGCAGAGGCCUGGUGGCCAGGGCAGAGCUCGGAAGGAGCAGCAAGCACCACGCAGAGGGAGAGCCUCUCCUAUGCAACCAC
rnacentral:lncRNA from 1 species